GCGAAGCCGACCUCCUUAACUAGCCGGGAGCACUCAGACCUAGAAGAAAGGCAGUCCGGAGCCAGCGGGUUUCCUCUCCUGUCAGCGCCGAGCCCCUGCCAGUACUCCGCUUUCCCCCGCAUUCUAUGGGAGCCGUCCCGCGCUCCAACCCUAACAGGGUGCAGGUUUUAGUGAGGGUUUCGGUUCACGUACCGCUGCACACCGGAUCCUAGCAUCAAGACGUAAGGGCGUACGUGUGCGGAGUGGCGCAGCGACGCAGGGGCCUUCGGGAAACGUGGUUUCAAGCCGGUUUCAAGCUGGUUCAGUGUAAUUGUGCACCGCGUGAUGGGCGUCCGGAUUGACCCCCCGGCUGGAACUAUGAAUCUCAUCUGAGCGGUUUAAUUCAGUUGGCUCCCCAGAACUUCUGGAAAAUCUCAAACAGAAGAGGUUAGGUCUUCAAGGAAAUGUAGUCCGUGACUGGAAAAACGGCAAAAGGCUGCGAGGUACUUGCAUAUCCUGGCAACGAGUCCCUUAUAGGACAUAUGUAAUGAUACAUAUUGCAGGUAUAAUUAUGCAAAGCAAAGAAUCCAGGAAAGAAUUGCCAGAGAAGGGAUUAAAAAUCAGAUUUUAUAUGAAAACUCCCACCUUGAUCCUGAAAGAAAACAAAUCAACAGCAGAAGCAGCAGCAAUUGAACAAC